rnacentral:lncRNA from 1 species
AUUUCUCCCAGGGCCUUCUCAGGCCUGGGGAAAGGGCUCCAGGGCUUGUACCUGCAGCAGAACCAACUUCAGUCCCUGCCUGCCCCGAUGUGGCUCAGCGGGCUGGAGCUCAUCGACCUCAGCGGUAACCCCUUCCACUGUGACUGCCAGCUGCUCCCGCUGCACAGAUGGCUCACGGGGCUGAACCUGCGGGUGGGCGCCACCUGUGCCACCCCUCCCAGUGUCCGUGGCCAGAAGGUGAAGGCUGCAGCUUCUGUCUUUGAAGCCUGCCCAGGCUGGAUUGCCAGGAAGGCCAAGAGGACACCAACCUCCGGGGUCAGUGCCAGGAGAACUCCCAUCCACGGAUGGCAUUGAGGAACAGACGAGGUAGAGAAGCAAAGGGACUACAUCUGAGAAUGGAGCAGCCUGUCCCCGACUCAACCCAGCCCACCAGCUCUUACUGUCAUCAGGAACUGGUUCCGAGACCCCCAAAGCCUCAAGGUUGUCCUCCAGUAAGGGUUUCUUGGAGCUCUGUCUGAGGGGCCGAGUCUUGGCUGACGGGAUUCUUUUCCCUAUGAAUAAAACCAAACCUAGCAUUA